rnacentral:rRNA from 1 species
UACGAAGGGUGCAAGCGUUAAUCGGAAUUACUGGGCGUAAAGGGCGCGUAGGCGGCCUGCUAAGUCGGACGUGAAAUCCCUCGGCUCAACCGAGGAACUGCGUCCGAUACUGGUGGGCUUGAAUCCGGGAGAGGGAUGUGGAAUUCCAGGUGUAGCGGUGAAAUGCGUAGAUAUCUGGAGGAACACCGGUGGCGAAGGCGGCAUCCUGGACCGGUAUUGACGCUGAGGCGCGAAAGCUAGGGGAGCAAACGGG